AUCUAGUUGACGAGUCCUAAAUAGGACGAAACGCUGAUCAAACUGGAU
rfam:Schistosoma mansoni strain Puerto Rico chromosome W, complete genome